CUACAACAGCAUUCUGCUCCUCAAUCUCUUUAGCUUUAUCUUCAGCCAGAGUCUUUUUCUCCUCAGCUACACUGAUGUUUACUGAUCAUACUUGUGUCCUCUCCAGGGUCAGCUGGAGAUGACUAACAGAUCCAGCCUCAGCAGCCAACAUCUGCACAGGAUGCAGGUUUUCCGUAAUGUGACACAUGCUGAAGUGGAUUAUAAAAGUAACACAAACAGGUUUUCCGUAAUGUGACACAUGCUGAAGUGGAUUAUAAAAGUAACACAAACAGGUGAUAAAGCUGAGCUGAUGGCCCGCUGGAUGAAUCCUGCUCUGAAGGUAACUUUCCUCUUGGCCAGAUCUGGAGUACCUUUACAGCAUGCUAUCCUAAGGACCCGGGCUUCUGUGUAGCUCACGGUUCUCCAAGUGCAUGCAAGAACAUGGGGUGGUCUUUGACUGCUGUGGUCUGUAUUUACCACCAGCAGCCACUCAACUGUCCAACAAGUGAUCUGUUAGAUGGAAAGUUGUACACAUCUAAAACACCAUGUUUAAUGUAGUCUGUUUUGUUCUAGGGAUCAACCCUCACCUGACCUCGGCUGUGGCUGAGCGUGUGGAUGCUACUGCUACAGGCUCUUGGAGGUCCAGCACGAUGGUGAAAGAAGCGUCCUCCACUCCAACCUGUGAAGGACUUGUGGAAGUCAAAAUGAUGGUCCAGGCCAUCUUCAGGAAUUCUUGGCAUAACUUCAGUGGGCAAGCCUCAAAUCUGGCAGCACUGCAUCCCAUAAUGUACUAAUGCAUGAUCUUAACAAUUGGCAGUGUCCAGUAAAGCCAUACCUGGCUGGUGUCCAUAAGACUGAGUUGUAGUUGAAACUGAAAAGCUGAAUUCACAUUUUGGCAUAAAUGGUCUAAGAGAAUCUGUUAAAUUUUUUUUUUUUUUCUGAUAAUUUCCCUUUACUGGGCAGAGUCCUUUUCUGAAUGUAAUAAACACUCAACAAUCA